rnacentral:lncRNA from 1 species
AUGACCCCCACACCCUAUAGCCUAACUCGCUUUUGGAUUGAAGAAGACACAAGCUCCCCAUGAAACGCACCAAAAGACCAUGUACGUCCUCUUUCCCGAUCCCAACAUCAGAUAUACUAAAUUCGUCUCAUUUCUCCCAAACUUCAAUGUUCGCCUUCCUUCUCUCUACCUCAACCUUUUUCUCUCAUGGCUAAGGAUCUGCAGGUUCAAUUUAACAGGUAAUGCCCGUUACUAAUGUGAAAUUGGGAUUUUAGGGUUCAUAUUUGGUUUAUUAUCUGUUCUGGUCAAUUGCAAUUUGUAUCUUCUCAAUGAGAACCCCACAAAACAGCGUUUGUGGAGGAACCUCCCCGUUUCUUUUGACCUCCGACGUCGGAAGUGACGAUCACGAUUCUCGGUUAGCCAUCGCCGAUCUCAUAAUUUUUCCCUCUCCACCGUUACGAGACCCAAAGAUGUCCCUUUCUCAUAUGCAGGUAGGCAUAUGAUGAUGGUGAGUGGUGGCAG